rnacentral:lncRNA from 1 species
AGAACUUGUACUACAUUUCGGCCUUUGAUCUUUAAACAUUGACUGUCAGCCCACACAUCCAUGUGCGGUGUUAUGCGGAGCUCACUUCUGGGGCACACAUCUCUCUGCUCUCCCUGUGGGAGGUGCACAGUCUACUGGAUUACUAACCAGAUGAAAAUUCAGAGCUGCCUGAUCAAAAGGUUUAAGGAGGAAAACCCCAGACAUUUUGGCUUUAUUUACAGUGUCACACAGUUUGGAAACAAUGAUAACAGUUGGCAUGAUUUAUCUUUUUUUUAUAAAUGAUUCUCAAAUAAGACGUCAGUCAACCUAAAAUGUGAUUACUGACGCCUGCACUAAACUGCCGUGGAUCAGAAAGUUCAAGUUUUCUAAGUGCGUAGUGACUCCUAGUGUUAGCACCUGUGGCCUUCCCUAUCUUUUAGACUGCUUGAGUGACUGUGGUGCAGGUGUCUCAUGCGCUGAGGUCAUUUACUGAUGUCAUGAGGCGAUGACUUCAGCUCUCUGUAGUCAUCUUUGUGUAAGCCAUUGCUCAUCCAUACAGGAGUGCAGACCCGCAGCACUAGCUCACUUAUUUCUGUCUCUGAGCUUUUCUGCAGUCUGUGAGGUUAUCGUUUGCUGCAGUGAGAGAGAGCAGGUGACCCCAAGUGGAGGGACGUGUGCUCUGACAAGGUCAUACUUGCCAGUGACUGUGGUUAUUCUUGGGACUGGAUGACAAGGUUUUCCUCCAUAAU